CAAAAAAAACAGUUUCAACAA
rnacentral:piRNA from 1 species